CCUGUGACCCCAGCCUGCUGCAGCGGUUCACAUCUGGGAUCAGGUAGGGUGGGACCUACAGUAAGAAGAAUGCAGGGAGGUGAUCCCUGGGAUUCUUAGCACCUGCUGUAGCUGUUAGAAAUCGUUGCCAGGUUAUGUCACACGUUGGUGACCCACUGAUCGAUGUGUGUUUCUGCUUGGUCUGCUUGGUCUGAAUUGGAUAACGAUUAAGCCAAAGGCUGAGGGUUCGGAAGGGGAAGGGAAGUGUGGAUUAUGAUCCGGGACCAUAGACUCUCUCCGGUGGGAGUCUGGAUGGGUGGGAGCCAGAGCGGUGACUCAGCAAACCCUUGGCAGUCAGUGUCCGGAGCAGACUGUGGCUUUGACAUCAGGCAAACAGAGCUGAAUUCUACCCCGUUUCUGCGGUUUUCUAGCUGUGGACCUUGGGAGAGUCCCCUCUACCUCUGAGCCUCGUAUUCUCACCUGUGAAAAGAAUUGUAAAAUCCCCUUCUUUACGAGGAGGUCAAAAAGAUUACAUGAGAUAAACCAGGGAAAGGGUUUUGCAUGUAGGGCGUGCUCCAUAAAUGCGGGCUUUCCAUCCCCUCCCACCAGACGGAACAUCAGGGUUAAUUUUCAUCAGCUCUGGGGUUAGGUGAACCCUAGAUCUGAAGCUCACCGGUCUCGUUUCCUGGUUGUUCAACCUGGAGAAAGGGAUUCCCUCCUCCACCCCCCACCCCGGCCAGAGCCCCAGCUUCGUCUGUAGUAACAGGAAUGAGGACACAGAGACAACUCUACGGCAGGCCCGGGGCUGGGUGGCCACCAGGGAUUCGGAUCUGAAGGACGAUCUCCAACCUUGUGGAGGUCACAGAUGCAUAAACGGGCAAUUGCAGUCAUGUGGUCAGUGUUGUGCAGGUUGCCUUGUCAUUGCGUUGAUGGUUUGUCUCCAUCACUGGGCAGAAGCUUUUUAGUUUGACGGAGGCCCACUUGCUUAGUUUUGCUUUGGUUGCCUCUGCUUUUGGCAUCAGAUCCAAAAAUAGCAUCGCUGAGACGGAUAUGAAGGAGCUCGCCGCCUGUUUUUUCUUCUAGGAGAUUCAUGGUUUCAGGUCUUAUGUUCAAGUUUUUCAUCAUUUUUCUGCAUGUGGCCGUCCAGUUUUCCCAACAGGAAAACAGAAAGCACGGGACAAAGAAUGCAUUAUAAAAUAGAAAUUCUGGUACCUUUGCUCCCUCAAACUGAUGGCUCUUCUCGUGCAUUUCCUGGAAGGCAUCCUUCCUUCCCUUGCCAGCUUGCCGUUCACUACUGUGGGUUGCAUCAAAGGAGGGUGAGUGGAAGACAGUGGAUAUUUACCUUUAAAAGACAUCAUGACAUUUAUACAUGCUGGUGUCCCGGCAGUCAUUGAAAUGAAGAAUAGUUAUAUGUUAUUUAAUUUUUUUAAUGUUUAUUUAUUUUGGGGGGGGGGUGAGGGGCAGAGAGAGGGAGACACAGAAUCUGAAGCAGACUCCAGUCUCUGAGCUGUCAGCACAGAGCCGGACGCGGGGCUCGAACCCAUAAACUGUGAGAUCAUGAGUUGAGCCGAAGUCAGAUGCUCAACCGACUGAGCCACCCAGGCGCCCCAAAAGUUUAUUUAUUUUGGGGGGGAGGGGCAGAGAGAGGGAGAGAAAGAAUCCCAAGUAGGCUCUGCACUGUGAGUGGAGAGCCCAACUCGGGGCUGGAACUCAUGAACUGUGAGAUCAUGACCUGAGCCGAAAUCGAGUCGGACCCAGGUGCCCCAAUUAUUGCGUGGGAAAGAAGCAAGUGAAAAGAAGAAAGUUGGAAAAGAAGAAAGUUGAGACUCCAUUAGCGUGCAGGGCAUAGCACAGAUGGGAGGCAGAAUAAGGCAGAGGUCCUGGGGCAAGUUAGAGCAUGUUGGAGAACAAGGUAAGAAAUGAGAGAGAACUUGGAUUUGGCCAUGGUGGGGGGGAGAGGAGAAGAGACGUGUUCGAGAGAUCAGUGAGAGAGAAAGACUCUGUAGGACUCAGCGGCCGGUUAACCAUGGGAACCGAAGAGGCAGGGGAUCCCCUCCGCCUCCUUAUCCACGAGGGAUAUGUUCCAAGGCCUCCAGUGGAUGCCUGAACCCAGGGACAGAAACCGAGCCCCGUUCAUACUAUGUUUCUUCCCUCUCCGUGCAUACUGGUGUUCGUUUAAUUUGUAAAUUAGGCAGAGGAAGAGAUUAGCAACAACGCUAAUACAAGAGAGCAAUUUUAACAAGAGACUGUAAUAAAAGUUAUGGGAAUGCGGCCUCUCUCCUGGAAAACAUCUGAUUGAACUGUACUCACCCUUCUUGGGAUGAUGGGAGACGAUAAAAUGCCCUCGUGAGGGGGUGGAGUGAGGUCAGGGCUGUCGGCCUCGUGACCUCGCGACCUCGCUUUAGGCUACCGCCGACCUUCUGAUAAAACAUCAGAAGGAGGAUCACCUGCUUCUGGACCGCAGUUGAUCGUGGAUAACUGAAGCCUCGGAAGGCACAACUGUGGAUAAGAGGGGACUUCUGGCUGAGUGGUGCUGUUGCCCAAGAUGGGUAACUCGGGAGAAGCGGCAGUUUUGAGAAAGGGGGACAAAGAGGAGGGGCUGGGACUAUUCCGUUGGCUGGGUUUUGGGCGCACUGGUGUGCCUUGUGGGACACGGGAGAGGAAAUGUGGGAGACGGAUUUAUCGCUGGAGCUUAGGCAACUAGCUCUACACAGGCCUGUUUCUCGACUCGAGCCAUUAUUACCGGCACUCGGCCUUUGAAAAGUUGCCCAGGCAUUCAAUGACAUAUGCUCUACUGGCCUGGACGUCCCUUUCUUUUUUUCUUUAAUAUUUUUACUUAUGUUUGAGAGAGAAAGAGACAGAGUGCAAGCAGGGGAGGGCAGAGAGAGAGGGAGACACAGAAUCCGAAGCAGGCUCCAGGCUCCGAGCCGUCGGCACAGAGCCCGACGCGGGGCUCGAACCCACGGACAGCGAGAUCAUGACCUGAGCCGAAGAUGGAUGCCUAACCGACUGAGCCACCCAGACGCCCCAUGGACGUCCCUUUCUGACUCAUGGCCUAGUUUGAAAGGAGUUAAGUUUUAAGACACACGGCAGUAAUCCAUUGCCAUCACGUGUAAGCAGCAGCAGCUGACUCAUUUGCAUUCUAGAGAAACUUUCUCUUCUCUCCCUUUCAGCUGAGAAAAACGGCUGCCUCCUCUUACCACUUUCCCCCCCACCUCUAGAAUCAGAGGGGUGAUUUCAAUCCUUUGAAAAAUUGGAGUGUUCAGGGGCGCCUGGGUGGCUCAGUCGGAUGAGUGUCCGACUUCAGCUCAGGUCAUGAUCUCGCGGGUCGUGAGUUCAAGCCCCGAGUUAGGCUCUGUGCUGACAGCUCGGAGCCUGGAGCCUGCUUCGGGUUCUGUGUCUCCCUCUCUCUCUGCCCCUCCCCAGCUCGCGCUCUGUCUCUCUCUCUCUCGUAAAAUAAACAAACAUUAAAAAAUUAAAAAAAUAAGUAAACUGGAGUGUUUAGACAAUUUACAUUUAAUGUAAUUAUCAAUAAGGUGUAGUUUAAAUCUACUGUCUUAUAAUGCUACGCAAAACACGUCAGUCAGAGAAAGACAAAAAGCAGAGGAGUUCACUCAUAUGUGGAAUU